GCAUCACGCAAGCGAUCGCGCGUCCGCGCUGUGACGUCGCCGCCGCCGUCGGCUGUGCGUGAUUUAUCGAUAAACCACAUCCACACUGACCAACACCGACGACGACUACGACGAGUAGUCUGUUUUUCUUUCUCGAUUACAGUUUUCCUCAUCCGCACGCUCGAUCACUACUUCACCAAUGAAAUAAAUGAUGAGAUAAUCAGCGAAUGCGCCGCAAAUUGUAUAGAUAAACAAAUUAGAAAAAGAUCACCGUUUUAUCGAUAAAUCAUGAUUUAUUCGCGCGGAUUAAAAAAGGCAGCGGAUGGCAUAACAUUUGAGUAUGCCAAAUAUUAUAAAGUACGCAUUCUAUGCAAAAUCAAGGGCGGUAGCGUGAGGAGUAGAGCCCCAGUUAAGUACGUCGUGGCACUUCCAAUGCACCAAAACGCUGAAAUAGAAACAUGUGCGCUCAAGAAAAUAAAAUAAAUAAAACAAAAGCA